AUGCGAUACUUGGUGUGAAUUGCAGAAUCUCGUGAACCAUUGAGUCUUUGAACGCAAGUUGUGCCCGAGGCCUUCUGGUCGAGGGCACGCCUUCUUGGGCGCCAUGG
rnacentral:rRNA from 1 species